rnacentral:rRNA from 1 species
CGACCGGCGCACGGGUGAGUAACGCGUAUGCAACCUGCCCGUUUCAGCGGGAUAACCCGGAGAAAUCCGGCCUAAUACCGCAUGUGGCCGAGGGGAGGCAUCUUCUUUCGGCCAAAGGAGGCAACUCCGGAGACGGAUGGGCAUGCGUGACAUUAGCUUGUUGGCGGGGUAACGGCCCACCAAGGCGACGAUGUCUAGGGGUUCUGAGAGGAAGGUCCCCCACACUGGUACUGAGACACGGACCAGACUCCUACGGAAGGCAGCAG